ACUCAGUCCUGCCUCAAAGAAGGGAGGAAGGAUGUCACCUUGUCCUGGGCAAGUUAUUGGGCAAGACCAGGCAGCUCCAGUGCUAAUUUAAUGCUGGGAAGAGAGUCGGGGAACCUGCAGCUCUGGCCAGCUUUCCCCCAAGGAAUCCCAGCCCUACCAGCCUCCUCCCUGUCUCUGGCACAUACCAGUUCACAGCCAGAUCAGUAGAGCAGAGGUGUACAAUGGGGAGGCUCUGGCCUGAGAAGAGGAAGCCCCUGAGAGCAUUCAAAGGGUCAAGAGAGGACUAAGGCAAGACCUCUUGGAUUAGGAAAAAGGUCAUAGCAACCCAAAGGAGGCGGAGCAACUGGAGUUCAAGACAUUCACCUUAAAAGUAUAGCACCUGUGGGGGCUGAGCUGGUGUUUCGUGGGAUCAUGAUGAUUCUCUGACUUGAAGUGCAAGGACUGGGAAAAAAUUCCAUGUCUGUCCCACAAGUGAGCAGUGGAGGGCAUUCGGAUGCAAUGAUCUUUCAGCCCUAACAUUCUGGAAGUCUGAUUCAAAGAGUCACACCCAGCAAAGGAAAACACAGAGACUAGACGGAAUCAGUGAAGAGGUGGCUGGUCAAAAGCAGCACAUGUAUCGUGUUUUCAAAGCUCAGCAGUGACUCAGGAAGGCAAGACAGGAAGUCCCUUGGGAAUGGUCUGUAAACCAGGGCGAGGGACUAAGAAAAACAGGUAGAUAAGUCCCCAGGAGCCUUAAACAGCCCCCAAAGCAUGAGCUACACAUAUGUCACUAGACUCUGUCAGAACCUUUCAGAGCUGGCCAGGCAUGGUGGCUCACGCCUGUGAUCCCAGCACUUUGGGAAGCUGAGGUGGGAGGAUAGGUUGAACCCAGGAAUUCGAGACCAGCCUGGGCAACAUAGCGAGACCUUGUCUCUACCAAAAAUAAAAUAAAUAAAUAAUUUAAAAAGAGGCCAGGAGUGGUGGCUCACACCUGUAAUCUCAGCACUUUGGGAGGCCCAGGCGGGCGGAUCACCUGAGGUCAGGAGUUACAGACCAGCCUGGCCAACGUGGCGAAACCUCAUUUCUACUAAAAAUACAAAAAUUAGUCAGGCAUGGUGGCAGGCGUCUGUAAUCCCAGCUACUCAGGAGGCUGAGGUGGGAGAAUUGCUUGAACCUGGGAAGCAGAGGUUGCAGUGAGCCGAGAUGGCGCCGCUGCACAGAGCAAGACCCCGUCUCAAAAAAAAAAAAAAAAGUAAUAAAGUAAAAAAUAAAAAGAACCUUCCAGAGUUUCUAGAGGCACUAAGACACUAAAAUGCCAGAGAAAGCCAUUUUACCCCUGAAGAAGCUCAGCACUGGGAAAUGACUGGGCAGAAACGUGGCCCACCUGGCCUGCUCCUAGUCCCCAGGACCGGCCAAACUGAAGUAGGUUUCUUCAGUUUUCUUCAGGUUUCUUCAGUAGGUACCUGCUCAGCCCACAAGCCCAGGGAGUCUCCUGGGUCCUUGGUUCUUCUAUGCAGCCCAGCCUCCUUGUCCAGUUAACUGGGGCAGAAGCAGGUACCUGACUCACAGGCAACCACUCUAGAGGCCAGGCUGGGCCAGUCAGAUUCCUGAACUUUGGAAUUAGGACAAGGAGAGGCCAGACUGUUUGCCACAGGUCCUGGUUGGGUAAGGAAAUGUAGAUUUGCCAAGGAGGGCUGCUUGGGACACGUGUCUGAAAGACAGAAAGGAAAUUGGUGUUUUGAGAGAAGUGGACGGAAAGGUGGGCAUUCCCCCAACACCAGUCCUGAGUGUAAGGUCCUUGUGCGACUUGCCUGCCCUUGAGAUCUGUGAGAUAGUUCUAACGCCUUAUAUUGAAUUACAUUUUUUGCUUAAACUAGCUGGAGUGGGCUUCUAUUUCAUGUAAACAAAUCAAUCACUGAUAUAGUGAAGCCCGUCCUUCAAAGUUUCCCAAAUUAGACUUGGCAAGUCGGCAUAAUGGUAAUGAUGCUAAUGACACCCCUGACAUUUGAUUGGUGUUUUAUAAUUUAAAAGUCCCUAACAUAGGGGUCAUCACUCCAGCCUGGGAUGACUUGCCCCAGACCUACUCAUGCUCCAGACUCUUGGGGAACGGCAUCACUCCUAAAACUCUCAAUGUCUUCAACAAUAAAGUGGGGUUAAUAAAGCCUGUUUUAAGUGGUUGUUGCAAGGUUUGAAUGUGGUAUGCAAAGUGUUUAGCACUUUGGCACACAGUAAAAGUGCUCAGUAUGUGGUAGCCAUAAUAGUGAUUUAUUAUAUAAAGUACCUAGAUGAGGCUAGACACAUAAUCACUAAUCAAAAAUUAUGUAAUAUAAAGUGCUUACUGAUCAGUGCAGAGGGUUUGACUUGACCAGACUUAACAGGAUCACUUGUAAAACAAAGGAGUUUUAGUUGAUCACAAGCUUUAUGUGAGUCAACAGAAACCAUCACAAAGCUAAUGUGAUCUCAGGCCAUAUUAAGAAAAGUUUUAUCUCUAGAAGAUGGGAGAUGUUAGUCAUGUCCACCUCAGUCCCUAUCAGACAACACCUAGUGGUGGGGAGGGGGCGGGCUCUAGGAAGAGGACCUGUGACCUCACAACUUUCUAAGAAAAAUAAAAUUUCUUUCUUGGCAAGUAUGCUUGCACAUAUAGAACUCAAAAAACAUUCCUCUAUUUUUUUUUCCUUUUUCACUUAUGCCUUUGUCUUGGAGUAGUUAGAGAAAGCCACUGCAAUCAAGACAGUGUGGUAUUGGUAUACAGAUGAAUAAAUUUAAAAUGUCUGCCCUUUGGAAGACACAAGAGAAUGCAAAUACAAUCCACAGACUGAGAGAAAAUAUUUGCAAAUGAUUUAUGGUGUGGUUUGGUUUUGUGUCCCUACUCAAAUCUCAUCUCAAAUUCUAAUUCCCACAUGUCAGAGGAAGGGCCUGAUGGGAGGUGAUUGGAUCAUGGGGGUGAAUUUUCCCCUUGGUGUUCUUGUGAUAGUCAGUUCUCAUAAGAUCUGAUGGUUUUAAAGUGUGGUUCUUCCUUCCCUUGCUCUCUCUCUGUCUCUCUCCUGUCACCAUGUAAGAUGUGCCUUGCUUCUCCUUCACCUUCUGCCAUUAUUGUAAGUUUCAUGAGGCCUCCCCAGUCAUGUGAAAUUGUGAGUCAAUUAAACCUCUUUUCUUUAUAAAUUAC
rnacentral:lncRNA from 1 species